GUGAAUCAUCAAAUUUUUGAACGCAAAUUGCACUCUCUGGUAUGCCGGAGAGUAUUUCUGUGUGAGGGUCAGUAUAAAUAAAAGUCGGUGUGGUUGCUGCCGUUCGUGGUGACGCACCGUAUGAUGGUCGUCCUCCCUUCGGUUAAUUUUCCUAAAAUUUUGCAUGAUUUUUUUUAACGUAUUUAAAUGUUUUUACGUUCUUUUGUUAUAUCUAAGACUAGUGGUGGUUAUUCU
rnacentral:misc_RNA from 1 species